rnacentral:tRNA from 1 species
GGGUCCGUAGUGUAGCGGUUUAUCACGUCUCCCUGUCACGGAGAAGAUCGCCGGUUCGAAUCCGGUCGGACCCG